rnacentral:rRNA from 1 species
AUUGAACGCUGGCGGCAGGCUUAACACAUGCAAGUCGAACGAGUGGAGGACGGGUGUGUAACGUCUGGGAACUUGCUCGAAGGUGGGGGAUAACUACUGGAAAUGGUAGCUAAUACCGCAUACCAUCGUAUGUUCCCAGCUGGUAGUAGCUGGUUGGUGGGGUAACGGCGCACCUAGGCGACGAUCCCUCGCUGGUCUGAGAGGAUGACCGGCCACACUGGAGCUGAGACACGGACCAGACUCCUGCGAGAGGCAGCAGUGGGGAAUAUUGCACAAUGGGCGCAAGCCUGAUGCAGCCAGGCGGCGUGUAUGAAGAAGGCCUUCGGGUUGUAAAGUACUUUCAGCGGGGAGGCGUUACUCGCAGAAGAAGCACCGGCUAACUCCGUGCCAGCAGCCGCGGUAAUUC